rnacentral:tRNA from 1 species
GAAGGUAUAGCUCAGUGGCAGAGCGCACACCUAGCAAACACAAGGUCCUGGGUUCAAUCCUCAGUACCUCCA